GUAGGUGAACCUGCGGAAGGAUCAUUAACACUAAACUCAAAAUAAUUAAACGCGUUAUCUCUCAACGACGCAAGUCGUAGCAGGCUAUGUCGCCGGCGCGGUGUUCGUGGUACUGGCUUUGGCAUACGCUGUAAGCUUGGAAUAACGCUUGAACGUUGAACGAUUUUUAGUGGUGUAUCCAUAGAUUUGGAGGGCUGUGAUGCUGGGGGAUCUUGGGAUUGGGCUGGAAUGGAGUUCGUUUGGAGCAGAA
rnacentral:misc_RNA from 1 species